GCCCGUAUGGUCUAGUGGUACGAUACUCCGUUUGGGCAUAUAUGCAAUCUUCGGAGUGGUCCUGCGUUCGAGCCGCAGUACGGGCC